rnacentral:rRNA from 1 species
GACGAACGCUGGCGGCGUGCCUAAUACAUGCAAGUCGAACGCAGGGGGGACGGGUGAGGAACACGUGGGUAACCUCCCAUCAGAGGGGAUAACACUUGGAAACAGGUGCUAAACCGAUACUGAUGGAUGAACCCGCGGGGCAUUAGCUAGUUGGGGAGGUAACGGCCUACCAAGGCCACGAUGCAUAGCUGAGCUGAGAGGGUGACCGGCCACACUGGGACUGAGACACGGCCCAGACUCCUACGGGAGGCAGCAGUAGGGAAUCUUCGGCAAUGGGCGAAAGUCUGACCGAGCAACGCCGCGUGAGUGAAGAAGGCUUUCGGAUCGUAAAACUCUGUGGUUAGAGAAGCGGUAUCUAACCAGAAAGCCACGGCUAACUACGUGCCAGCCGCCGCGGUAAUUC